UACGUAGGGGGCAAGCGUUGUCCGGAUUUAUUGGGCGUAAAGAGCGUGUAGGCGGCCAGGUAGGUCGGUUGUGAAAACUCGAGGCUCAACCUCGAGACGUCGAUGGAAACCAUCUGGCUAGAGUCCGGAAGAGGAGAGUGGAAUUCCUGGUGUAGCGGUGAAAUGCGCAGAUAUCAGGAAGAACACCCGUGGCGAAGGCGGCUCUCUGGUACGUGACUGACGCUGAGACGCGAAAGCGUGGGGAGCAAACAGG
rnacentral:rRNA from 1 species